AACAAAUUAUUAGGACUUAACGGUUUUGUCACUGCUCAACCAAAAUCAGCCGCACCUAGAGAGAUUAAUCUACCAAUGGAUCAUUCAGUGUCGAAACUCGACGACAAAAUCAUCAUAAACUGCAUCUCUUGUGGACCGGAUAAAGAGUCAAAGAGCUUGAUCAUGUUAGAUGUUUCCUCACUAAAAGGGGGUGCACCUGAAAGGACAAGAGGGCUUGAUUUUCAUGUGAUAGGCUCUAUGGAUCAACUUAGCUAACAUUCUAUGAACUUUAGCCACGACUAACUUGGAUUUCUCCAUUCAUAAUUGUUACUUUUAGAAAACGCAACACUGCGAUAAGGCAUUAGAUUUAUGAGUUGAAACAUUUUUUUCCCUUCUCA